rnacentral:rRNA from 1 species
GGUGGGGGAUGGACUCGCGGCCUAUCAGUUUGUUGGUGAGGUGAUGGCUCACCAAGACGAUGACGGGUAGCCGGCCUGAGAGGGCGACCGGCCACACUGGGACUGAGACACGGCCCAGACUCCUACGGGAGGCAGCAGUGGGGAAUAUUGCACAAUGGGCGAAAGCCUGAUGCAGCGACGCCGCGUGGGGGAUGACGGCCUUCGGGUUGUAAACCCCUUUCAGUAGGGAAGAAGCGAGAGUGACGGUACCUGCAGAAGAAGCGCCGGCUAACUACGUGCCAGCAGCCGCGGUAAUACGUAGGGCGCAAGCGUUGUCCGGAAUUAUUGGGCGUAAAGAGCUUGUAGGUGGCUUGUCGCGUCUGCCGUGAAAACCCGAGGCUCAACCUCGGGCGUGCGGUGGGUACGGGCAGGCUAGAGUGUGGUAGGGGAGACUGGAACUCCUGGUGUAGCGGUGAAAUGCGCAGAUAUCAGGAAGAACACCGAUGGCGAAGGCAGGUCUCUGGGCCAUUACUGACACUGAGAAGCGAAAGCAUGGGUAGCGAACAGGAUUAGAUACCCUGGUAGUCCAUGCCGUAAACGUUGGGCACUAGGUGUGGGGAACAUUCCACGUUUUCCGCGCCGUAGC